rnacentral:lncRNA from 1 species
UUAUAGAUCAAACUAUUCUAGAGCCUGUUGGUUAUAGAUCAGUGUAUUCUAGAGCCUGUUGGUUAUAGAUCAGUGUGUUCUAGAGCCUGUUGGUUAUAGAUCAGUGUGUUCUAGAGCCAAGCCUGUUGGUUAUAGAUCAGUGUAUUCUAGAGCCUGUUGUUUAUAGAUCAGUGUAUUCUAGAGCCUGUUGGUUAUAGAUCAGUGUAUUCUAGAGCCUGUUGGUUAUAGAUCAGUGUAUUCUAGAGCCUGUUGGUUAUAGAUCAGUGUAUUCUAGAGCCUGUUGGUUAUAGAUCAGUGUAUUCUAGAGCCUGUUGGUUAUAGAUCAGUGUAUUCUAGAGCCUGUUGGUUAUAGAUCAGUGUGUUCUAGAACCUGUUGGUUAUAGAUCCGUGCAUUCUAGAGCCUGUUGUUUAUAGAUCAGUGUAUUCUAGAGCCUGUUGGUUAUAGAUCAGUGUAUUCUAGAGCCUGUUGGUUAUAGAUCAGUGUAUUCUAGAGCCUGUUGUUUAUAGAUCAGUGUAUUCUAGAGCCUGUUGGUUAUAGAUCAGUGUAUUCUAGAGCCUGUUGGUUAUAGAUCAGUGUAUUCUAGAGCCUGUUGGUUAUAGAUCAGUGUAUUCGAGAGCCUGUUGGUUAUAGAUCAGUGUAUUCUAGAACCUGUUGGUUAUAGAUCAUUGUAUUCUAGAGCCUGUUGGGCAUAGAUCAGUGUGUUCUAGAGCCUGUUGGGCAUAGAUCAGUGUAUUCUAGAGCCUGUUGGUUAUAGAUCAGUGUAUUCUAGAGCCUGUUGGUUAUAGAUCAGUGUAUUCUAGAACCUGUUGGUUAUAGAUCAGUGUGUUCUAGAGCCAAGUCUCUACUGCCUGUCUCUUUAGCUCUGCACCCAGCAACAGGUUUCUGCUGCCUGUCUCUCUAACUCUGCACCCAGCAACAGGUAUCUGUUAAGAUUAAGAGGGGUUUGAGGAUCUGCAUUGUAGAAGGAGAUCAUAUUCAACUACCAUGCUGCACCGAAAGCAAAUACCACCAACCUUUGGGUGUGUUGCAAGAAACAAAUCUGAAUCAUCUCAACAGAUUUCUGCUGUAGGCAAUUGGUGAAUCGGAUCUGCGAUCAGAUCUUAUUUGAGUCACGUCAAUAGGUUAUUGCUAUAUAGAAGGGUUGGACGAUCUGAUCUGUUAUUAAACUCGUGUGUGAAAAUUUUUUCCCAUAUUGUUGCUUAGCAACCAGCCAGUAUCUGGAGAAAAUGGUUCCUCCAGUUGGGCUGCGGAGAGGACAGGCUGUGACCAAGUGGAGAGGAGGACAGGCUGUGACCAAGUGGAGAGGAGGACAGGCUGUGACCAAGUGGAGAGGAGGACAGGCUGUGACCAAGUGGAGAGGAGGACAGGCUGUGACCAAGUGGAGAGGAGGACAGGCUGUGACCAAGUGGAGAGGAGGACAGGCUGUGACCCAGUUAUGAAAAGAAGGGAGGAGGAAAUUAAAAAGGAAAGAGGGGUGGAGGGAAGGGAGGAGAGAGGUGAAGGGAGGAGAGGGUUGGAAAGUGGAGGAGAGGGAG